GUGCUCGCUGCAGCAGCACAUAUACUAAAAUUGGAAAGAUACAGAGAAGAUUGGCACGGACCCUGUGUGAGGAUGACACACAAAUUCAUGAAGCAUUCCGUAUUUUU
rnacentral:snRNA from 1 species